rnacentral:lncRNA from 1 species
GCUGGAGCUUUUCGUAAGUCGAUAAGAGCAGCAUCUUUCUCUUUGUCUCCAAACCCGUGAAUUUGAUACGCUUUGAAAGCGUUCUUCUAGGCGAAAGAGCUUGGUACUUUCAUGCUUGGAUAGAAGGGGAGAGUUCAAUACCGUGCACGCGACCACAAAGUUGUUUUCGACGAGAAUUCGAUGGGAAGCGGAGGAACGAAUUUUUCCCACAUUCAGAGGCCAAGCCAGGAACUGUAAAACGUUCACCUUUGAAAGGUCCCACCGAGAUUCGAACUCGGAUUGCUGGAUUCAAAGUCCAGAGUGCUAACCAUUACACCAUGGGACCAACCACAAGGGUACAGUAGAGAUUUCUAAAAGAGAUGUUCUGAUUAUUCAAAGACUCUCUACUCAGAAAUGCCAAAAUGUGAGAAAUCAACAUGAGGACCACAGCAGAAGGAAACAGAGAAUGGAGAAGGGA